UAGCUCAGUUGGUAAAGAAUCUGCCUUCAAUGCAGCAGACCCAGGUUCAAUCCCUGG
rnacentral:tRNA from 1 species